GUCUAUCGCUAUGCCACACUGAAUGGGCUCGAUCCCGUCUGAUCUCGGAAGCUAAGCAGGGUCGGGCCUGGUUGGUACUUGGAUGGGAGACCACCUAGGAAGACUGGGUGCUGUAGGCG
rnacentral:rRNA from 1 species